rnacentral:rRNA from 1 species
UACGUAGGGGGCUAGCGUUGUCCGGAAUCAUUGGGCGUAAAGCGCGCGUAGGCUGUCAGUUAAGUCUGGUGUGAAAGUCAAAGGCUCAACCUUUGAAUGCCGCUGGAAACUGGCUGACUUGAGUCCGGAAGGGGCGAGUGGAAUUCCUGGUGUAGCGGUGAAAUGCGCAGAUAUCAGGAGGAACACCGGUGGCGAAGGCGCUCUGCUAGGCCGCAACUGACACUGAGGGACGAAAGCUAGGGGAGCGAAUGGG